rnacentral:rRNA from 1 species
AUACGUAGGGGGCAAGCGUUGUCCGGAAUGAUUGGGCGUAAAGGGCGCGUAGGCGGCUUUAUAAGUCUGGAGUGAAAGUCCUCUUUUCAAGGGAGGAAUUGCUUUGGAAACUAUAGAGCUUGAGUGCAGGAGAGGUUAUCGGAAUUCCCGGUGUAGCGGUGAAAUGCGUAGAUAUUAGGAGGAACACCAGUGGCGAAGGCGACUUACUGGACUGUAACUGACGCUGAGUCACGAAAGCGUGGGUAGC